CACGUAGGGCGCAAGCGUUGUCCGGAAUUAUUGGGCGUAAAGAGCUCGUAGCGGUCUGUUGCGUCCGCUGUGAAAUCUCGGGGCUUAACCCCGAGCCUGCAGUGGAUACGGGCAGACUAGAGGUAGGUAGGGGAGAAUGGAAUUCCCGGUGUAGCGGUGAAAUGCGUAGAUAUCUGGAGGAACACCGGUGGCGAAGGCGGCAUCCUGGACCAAUUCUGACGCUGAGUGAGCGAAAGCCAGGGGAGCAAACGGG
rnacentral:rRNA from 1 species